UACGUAGGGUGCAAGCGUUGUCCGGAAUUAUUGGGCGUAAAGAGCUCGUAGGCGGUUUGUCGCGUCUGGUGUGAAAAUCCAGGGCUUAACCCUGGACCUGCAUCGGGUACGGGCAGACUAGAGUGCGGUAGGGGAGAUCGGAAUUCCUGGUGUAGCGGUGGAAUGCGUAGAGAUCCGGAAGAACACCGGUGGCGAAGGCGGCCUGCUGGGCAGUUUUGCUGACACUGAGGCGCGACAGCGUGGGGAGCAAACAGG
rnacentral:rRNA from 1 species